rnacentral:rRNA from 1 species
GGUUAAGCGAAUAAGCGUACACGGUGGAUGCCUAGGCAAUCAGAGGCGAUGAAGGACGUGCUAAUCUGCGAAAAGCGUCGGUAAGGUGAUAUGAACCGUUAUACCCGACGAUAUCCGAAUGGGGAAACCCAGUAUCCAAUGGAUACUAUCAUUAACUGAAUCCAUAGGUUAAUGAGGCGAACCGGGAGAACUGAAACAUCUCAGUACCCCGAGGAAAAGAAAUCAACCGAGAUUCCCCUAGUAGCGGCGAGCGAACGGGGAGCAGCCCAGAGUCUUAAUCAAUAGCAGUGUCAGGAGAACGGUCUGGAAAGUCCGGCAGUAAAGGGUGAUAGCCCCGUAUCUGAAGAUGCUGUUGUUGUGAACUCGACGAGUAGGGCGGGACACGUGUUAUCCUGUCUGAAUAUGGGGGGACCAUCCUCCAAGGCUAAAUACUCCUGAUUGACCGAUAGUGAACCAGUACCGUGAGGGAAAGGCGAAAAGAACCCCGGCGAGGGGAGUGAAAAAGAACCUGAAACCGUGUACGUACAAGCAGUAGGAGCCUCUUUAUGGGGUGACUGCGUACCUUUUGUAUAAUGGGUCAGCGACUUAUAUUCUGUAGCAAGGUUAACCGUAUAGGGGAGCCGUAGGGAAACCGAGUCUUAACUGGGCGAAUGAGUUGCAGGGUAUAGACCCGAAACCCGGUGAUCUAUCCAUGGGCAGGUUGAAGGUUGGGUAACACUAACUGGAGGACCGAACCGACUAAUGUUGAAAAAUUAGCGGAUGACUUGUGGAUGGGGGUGAAAGGCCAAUCAAACCGGGAGAUAGCUGGUUCUCCCCGAAAGCUAUUUAGGUAGCGCCUCGUGAACUCAUCUUCGGGGGUAGAGCACUGUUUCGACUAGGGGGUCAUCCCGACUUACCAACUCGAUGCAAACUGCGAAUACCGAAGAAUGUUAUCACGGGAGACACACGGCGGGUGCUAACGUCCGUCGUGAAGAGGGAAACAACCCAGACCGCCAGCUAAGGUCCCAAAGUCAUGGUUAAGUGGGAAACGAAGUGGGAAGGCUCAGACAGCCAGGAUGUUGGCUUAGAAGCAGCCAUCAUUUAAAGAAAGCGUAAUAGCUCACUGGUCGAGUCGGCCCGCGCGGAAGAUGUAACGGGGCUAAACCAUGCACCGAAGCUGCGGCAGCGACACGUAGUGUUGUUGGGUAGGGGAGCGUUCUGUAAGCCUGCGAAGGUGUACUGUGAGGUAUGCUGGAGGUAUCAGAAGUGCGAAUGCUGACAUAAGUAACGAUAAUGCGGGUGAAAAACCCGCACGCCGGAAGACCAAGGGUUCCUGUCCAACGUUAAUCGGGGCAGGGUGAGUCGACCCCUAAGGCGAGGCUGAAAAGCGUAGUCGAUGGGAAACGGGUUAAUAUUCCCGUACUGGUGGUAACUGCGAUGGGGGAACGGAGAAGGCUAGGUUGUCCGGGCGACGGUCGUCCCGGUUCAAGCAGGUAGGCAGAGUGAUUAGGCAAAUCCGGUCACUUAAUGCUGAGAUGUGAUGACGAACCACCAAGGUGGUGAAGCAAUUGAUGCCCCGCUUCCAGGAAAAGCCUCUAAGCUUCAGGUUACCAACAAUCGUACCCCAAACCGACACAGGUGGUCAGGUAGAGAAUACUCAGGCGCUUGAGAGAACUCGGGUGAAGGAACUAGGCAAAAUGGUGCCGUAACUUCGGGAGAAGGCACGCUGGCGGUAGGUAAAGUCCCUCGCGGACGGCGCUGAAGCCAGUCGAAGAUACCAGCUGGCUGCAACUGUUUAUUAAAAACACAGCACUGUGCAAACACGAAAGUGGACGUAUACGGUGUGACGCCUGCCCGGUGCUGGAAGGUUAAUUGAUGGGGUCAGCCGUAAGGCGAAGCUCCUGAUCGAAGCCCCAGUAAACGGCGGCCGUAACUAUAACGGUCCUAAGGUAGCGAAAUUCCUUGUCGGGUAAGUUCCGACCUGCACGAAUGGCGUAAUGAUGGCCAGGCUGUCUCCACCCGAGACUCAGUGAAAUUGAACUCGCUGUGAAGAUGCAGUGUACCCGCGGCAAGACGGAAAGACCCCGUGAACCUUUACUAUAGCUUGACACUGAACAUUGAGCCUUGAUGUGUAGGAUAGGUGGGAGGCUUUGAAGUGUGGACGCCAGUCUGCAUGGAGCCAACCUUGAAAUACCACCCUUUAACGUUUGAUGUUCUAACCUAGGCCCAUAAACUGGGUCGGGGACCGUGUCUGGUGGGUAGUUUGACUGGGGCGGUCUCCUCCUAAAGAGUAACGGAGGAGCACGAAGGUUGGCUAAGCAUGGUCGGACAUCAUGCGGUUAGUGCAAAGGCAUAAGCCAGCUUGACUGCGAGAGUGACGGCUCGAGCAGGUACGAAAGUAGGUCUUAGUGAUCCGGUGGUUCUGAAUGGAAGGGCCAUCGCUCAACGGAUAAAAGGUACUCCGGGGAUAACAGGCUGAUACCGCCCAAGAGUUCAUAUCGACGGCGGUGUUUGGCACCUCGAUGUCGGCUCAUCACAUCCUGGGGCUGAAGUAGGUCCCAAGGGUAUGGCUGUUCGCCAUUUAAAGUGGUACGCGAGCUGGGUUUAGAACGUCGUGAGACAGUUCGGUCCCUAUCUGCCGUGGGCGUUGGAAGAUUGAGAGGGGUUGCUCCUAGUACGAGAGGACCGGAGUGAACGCACCACUGGUGUUCGGGUUGUCAUGCCAAUGGCAUUGCCCGGUAGCUAAGUGCGGAAGAGAUAACCGCUGAAAGCAUCUAAGCGGGAAACUUGCCUCGAGAUGAGUCUUCCCUGUCACUUUAAGUGACCUAAAGGAACGUUUAAGACUAAGACGUUGAUAGGCUGGGUGUGUAAGCGUAGCGAUACGUUGAGCUAACCAGUACUAAUGAACCGUGAGGCUUAACCUG